rnacentral:rRNA from 1 species
CAGUAGGGUGCGAGCGUUGUCCGGAAUUAUUGGGACGUAAAGAGCUUGUAGGCGGUUUGUCGCGUCUGCUGUGAAAAUCCCGGGGCUCAACCCCGGACUUGCAGUGGGUACGGGCAGACUAGAGUGUGGUAGGGGAGACUGGGAAUUCCUGGUGUAGCGGUGGAAUGCGCAGAUAUCAGGAGGAACACCGAUGGCGAAGGCAGGUCUCUGGGCCACUACUGACGCUGAGAAGCGAAAGACAUAAAAAGCGAACAGGAUU